rnacentral:misc_RNA from 1 species
CGAAAUGCGAUAAGUAAUGUGAAUUGCAGAAUUCAGUGAAUCAUCGAAUCUUUGAACGCACCUUGCGCUCCUUGGUAUUCUUUGGAGCAUGCCUGUUUGAGUAUCAUGAAAUCUUCAAAGUAAAUCUUUUGUUAACUCAAUUGGUUUCUACUUUGGUAUUGGAGGUCUUUGCAGCUUCACACCUGCUCCUCUUUGUUCAUUAGCUGGAUCUCAGUGUUAUGCUUGGUUCCACUCGGCGUGAUAAGUUAUCUAUCGCUGAGGACACUGUAAAAGGUGGCCAAGGUAAAUGCAGAUGAACCGCUUCUAAUAGUCCAUUGACUUGGACAAUACUUUUAUGAUCUGAUCUCAAAUCAGGUAGGACUACCCGCUGAACUUAAGC